rnacentral:rRNA from 1 species
GACUUCCUUGGGGGAGGCCACCAGUAGGGAAUUUUUCCCACAAAGGGACCCCAAGUUCUGAAGGAGACAACCCCCGCGUGAAGGAAAGAAGGGUUUUCGGUUCGUAAAAGCUCUGUUGUUAAAGAAGAACGUGGGUAAGAGUAACUGUUUACCCCAGUGACGGUAUUUAACCAGAAAGCCACGGCUAACUACGUGCCAGCAGCCGCGGUAAUACGUAGGUGGCAAGCGUUAUCCGGAUUUAUUGGGCGUAAAGCGAGCGCAGGCGGUCUUUUAAGUCUAAUGUGAAAGCCUUCGGCUCAACCGAAGAAGUGCAUUGGAAACUGGGAGACUUGAGUGCAGAAGAGGACAGUGGAACUCCAUGUGUAGCGGUGAAAUGCGUAGAUAUAUGGAAGAACACCAGUGGCGAAGGCGGCUGUCUGGUCUGCAACUGACGCUGAGGCUCGAAAGCAUGGGUAGCGAACAGGAUUAGAUACCCUGGUAGUCCAUGCCGUAAACGAUGAUUACUAAGUGUUGGAGGGUUUCCGCCCUUCAGUGCUGCAGCUAACGCAUUAAGUAAUCCGCCUGGGGAGUACGACCGCAAGGUUGAAACUCAAAAGAAUUGACGGGGGCCCGCACAAGCGGUGGAGCAUGUGGUUUAAUUCGAAGCUACGCGAAGAACCUUACCAGGUCUUGACAUCUUCUGACAGUCUAAGAGAUUAGAGGUUCCCUUCGGGGACAGAAUGACAGGUGGUGCAUGGUUGUCGUCAGCUCGUGUCGUGAGAUGUUGGGUUAAGUCCCGCAACGAGCGCAACCCUUAUUACUAGUUGCCAGCAUUAAGUUGGGCACUCUAGUGAGACUGCCGGUGACAAACCGGAGGAAGGUGGGGACGACGUCAAAUCAUCAUGCCCCUUAUGACCUGGGCUACACACGUGCUACAAUGGAUGGUACAACGAGUCGCGAAACCGCGAGGUUAAGCUAAUCUCUUAAAACCAUUCUCAGUUCGGACUGUAGGCUGCAACUCGCCUACACGAAGUCGGAAUCGCUAGUAAUCGCGGAUCAGCAUGCCGCGGUGAAUACGUUCCCGGGCCUUGUACACACCGCCCGUCACACCAUGAGAGUUUGUAACACCCAAAGCCGGUG